rnacentral:rRNA from 1 species
ACGUAGGGGGCAAGCGUUAUCCGGAAUUAUUGGGCGUAAAGAGUGCGUAGGUGGUUUUUAAACGUGGGGGUAAAAGCCAUAGCUUUACUAUUGGAAGCCUUGCGAACUGGAAGACUUGAGUGCAGGAGAGGAAAGUGGAAUUCCUAGUGUAGCGGUGAAAUGCGUAGAUAUUAGGAGGAACACCAGUGGCGAAGGCGACUUUCUGGACUGUAACUGACACUGAGGCACGAAAGCGUGGGGAGCAAACAG